GGGGAGGAGGGUCCAGGCCAAUUUCCUUCAUUAGCUGGGGAACUGAGGCAAAGCAACUCUUAGAAAUGCGAAGUAAUGUGCUCCAGCGGAGUCCUGGGGACAGGAGCGUUCAGGAGUUAUCACGUAAAUGACAAACGGACCCCGAAGCCUGUGCAACAACAGGAUCCACGCACGACACAGAAUCGAAAUGAGGAAAACAAGGACGAGGUUGCAGCCCGGAGAAAACGGAGCCGAGCGGGCGCCUUUGUGCUGAGACGAGCGAAACGCAGAGUCGCUGUGAAUGCGGAAUUCCAGUUGUGCAAACGAGGUCAGAGGAAAAACCUCCUUCGCCAGCACCCCAAAUGACACCAGGAGAACAAAGCUCAGAGUGUCCCAGCAGCCCCGCGGCAGCCCCGUAUGUGAUGCCCAUAAAAACAGGUGAUCUGGGAAUGCCGAUGAUUAGCUGUGGGCAGGACGGACAGAUGGACAAAGUGGGUGGCAUCUGCUCCGGGGAUGCUGCUGGGGAUGCUGCUGGGGAUGCUGCUGGGGAUACUGUGCCCACACAACGAUGGGCUGGACCAUGUGUCCUGGGUCUUUCUUUAAAGCUUAAUUUUCAUUUGCUACUUUCCCACAAGAAUGUCCCCAUCUGACAUGUCCCUGGUGACAAUUUCCCCCUGUCCUGUCUUCUUCGGUUCUGCUGCAUGUGCACGUUCCUCACUUCCAUACGCGCAUCACUCCGUGAGAUUUUUAAAAAGCACCAGAAACCAAGUUCCUUCGAUUGGAGAGCCAGCACUUGAAAAAGUCAAAGCGCACAAACCUCAUCUUAAGCAUUUUAAACAAGAGGAACGCUGAUUUCUUUUCUCAAAACAAACCAGGAGGAAGCAGCGGGCUCCGUCGAAGCCCCCGAAGUGGCGGGGAUCGGUGUGUUGACUCGGCUGAGCGCGGGAUCAGGCGCAGCCGAUGUCCCCACGUGGGGACCCGCCGCUUGUUUUCCAUUUCACAGCCCUUUGAUCUCCUAUGGAUUCCCUUAACAUUGACCUUGAUAUAAAAGAAAUACUUUCAGUUGCUCGUGUUAAUCUUUCCGUAUUUCUAUUUGGAGCGCAGGUACCCGCAGAACCUGCCGGGGAUGGUGGGGACAAACCUGGGGCAGGUGAGGGGGCUGCAGCAGAUCCCUGCUGGCGCUGGCGCGAUUUGGGGUGCGUGAUUACCUCUGCCAGCCCCAAACCCUGCUUACCUUGCAGUAAAUUCCUCAUUUACCCCACAGCCACAUUAAGAUUUUUCUGGUUUUCCAGCCUAUCGAUGCAUUUUCUUUUGAAAUCAAUCCCGUAGUUGGUUAAAAUUGAUAAAUGCACUAGCAGAAACCAACACGUUUUCUGUCUUUCCCCAAGCUGUUAGCCAAUCCCACCUAUCAUUCAAGCCCUGCCGGAAAAGAUCAUUUAGAAGCCGAUCUUUUGAGAGCGAUGCCAAAACAUAGCUGGACAUUCUGAUGCCCACACAUGGGCUUCUGGGCUGCGUGCAACACCGGCCCAUGGUACGAGAAACAGGUGAUUGACAUCAUCCUGCAGAGCAGGAUGACAAGCCAUAAUUAAGCUUUGUGUUUUUUUUGAUGAAUUUUAAUGAAAUUAAUUAAUCUCCACAGAAAAGCAGAAGUUUUUAUAGCUGUAAACAUAUAUCUGAAACGCGCUGCGCAUUUGCUGAGCCUGGCUUAGGGCAGGUGCCUUCUCACACUCAGGAUUUGGGCUCCAUCCCGUUGUUGUUUGGUGGCAUCCUCUGAUUUCUUUUUGGUGUAACAUGCUUUAUUUGAAAGACUUUAUUAUAUGAUGCUGUAUGCCUAUGUAAUACGGUGUCAAGAUUUAAGGCAAGGCAAACAAGGUUUAAGGCCAAUAGCUACUGUCUUAAACACUUUCCACUGGAGAAGCUUUGAACCAUUGCAAAAAACCGGUUUUAAUCUCUAGGCGCAGCUCAACUGUGCUUAACUCUUUGAGGCUGUGGUGCUGCUUCGCGCUGAACCAUCCCCGGGACAAACACUUGGAUAAUGCUGCAUUAUAACAGACGGCGGAGAGACAAGUGAGAUGUGCGAGUACAAGAAAAUGAAAUCAGUGUUUAAUUACUAAAUAUUCUACAUCUAAAAUAAAAAAAAAGAAGAGCUUAAAUAAUUCAGUUUGAUUUGGUCUAAUUAGCCUGAUUUCCUAGUAUUUAGCCCUAAUUAUGUGAUACAUAAGCCCUAAUUAUGUGGUACGUAUACAGUGUGCUCUCUAAAGUUAAAGAUCAGAACGGAUACUGACUUAAAUGAUAAAAUAUGUUAAAUUAUUAAUUAUAAUUAAUCUUACAAAAUAGGCAUAAUUAGUUUAAGUACUUUAGAUAUUCUACUUAACGGCAUUCUGCAUUAUAUGCGAGGUCUGAACAUUUGACAAAUGCUGUAUCGAAUGAAGAAUGCGGGUGAGCACUUGGUGAAGUCAGACCCGGCAGAGGCUGGGCUGCCGCAGCAUCCGUCACAGCAUCACGGCAUCACGGCAUCACGGCGCGGCUGCCUCUGCUUUGGUGAAGAAAAAGAAGGAAAAUUGGGUAGAAAUUUGGUAAAAAAGAAAAAAGGAGAAAUAUUUCUAGUUCUUUACUUAAAACGUUCUUUCCAACCCGUUGCUCUGAUGUAACGUAGGCAAAGUGGGCUGAAGUUGCUGUGAGAACUGUCUCGUGCUGGAGUUCUUUAAAUGAUGUCUCUGUUCUUUGCGUAGGUGAGAAGUGUGUGGGGUGGGCUGUGCUGCGAUGCUCCAGCACCACCGGCACUGGGAACAAAAGGGGGCGAUUCCAAACCACCUGAGAAACAGAAUGCAAGAAAAGAAUAAGGUUUUUCAGUUUUCCAUUUCGGGGUUUGCAGAAACGGGAGCGGGAAGGCAUUCGAGGAUAUUUUUCUAAACACUUUUACCCGUUAUUAAGCGCAGUGUCAAUGAUUUACAGCCCAUUCGCUGCAUUCAGGCAGUAACUCUUCAUGGACCUAAUGAAAGACAGUAAUGAGUUCACCUUGAAAACAGCCGCAUUAUCAAUAUUACAAAGUCUCCUUUUAUUUUUAUUUCACCAACUGUAAAAAGUAGACCCAAAAUAUGCUUGGAAAUAUUGCUUGAAGAUUUUAUUUUGCUGGAUUUUGAAUGAAGUUCUAGGAAAAAACCCUCACUGUCAUCCACUGCAACUUACAUUCUUUUAUGGUAAAUCUUAUGAAUCAUUUUUAAUCUUUUAAUGAGCACAAAGUGAAAUGCUAGGUAUCAGUAGAUGUAUGUAUCGCAAACUGUGCGUGAAUCCAGCGGGAUGAUAGAUGUAGCAUGGCGUUUUCAUUGGGCUGGGCUGGCAGAGCGGGACAUGUACGCACAAGCUGGGCUCGUCAGUCUGAAGAUGUGCUAUAAAAUGGAGGGGAUUUUAUUUUACACGCAUUUCUGUUUUGUAUAACAGCAAAACAAAUAAAAUUACGCUUGAAGAUAGGAAACUAAGUAUAACAACAUCGUAUGUGUAUGUGUUAAAAAUCCCUUUAAAUAGUUCAAAGUAUUUAUACCAGCACAAUGUUCAAGGUGUUGGCAGUGUUGGGAGUGUGUGGCUUUUAAACCUCAAAUAUUUGGGAUGUUACAUCAAAUACGAGUAGCUGUUUUUCUUACAUAUUCAAAUUAAUUUGCGGUGUUGGGACUGGAGGUGGAAAUCGCAGAACGCCAGAGAAAGCGGUUUUGCACAACUAGAGAGUUCUUCAAAUAUUAUCAAUGAGAAUUUUUGUUAUAUAUCCAGCUAAUUUUUGCAGAUCGGCAGCUUCAUAGAUUAAAUAAACUUUAAUAAAUAUAGACAAUACAGAUUAAGCACGUGAUGUGGUGAAACUGUUCCAUGAUGGCCAACUAUGUCCGUAAGAAAAAUAAGUCUUCAAGUCUCAAGAAGCAUCUUUAAAGCUCCACUAAGAAGCACGUUGUAUGAGCUCCGUCUCCACGCAGCCCACGCCACGUCUCUCCUGCCCAUCCAGCCAGCCGGCUCUAGGACCCGACCUAGUGCUGCACUUUCACCUGCUCCUGUGCCAGCUACCGUUAAUCUUUCCGCAGAUGAAGUUCUUGUUUUAAAUGGGUGUUUGUACCAAGCAGUGCUCGGCCCAAAGUCCCGCGUGUUCUCCCCCCUCGGUGACACCCACGGGGAGGUGACCUGUGGGCUGGCCUGUGGUCCAGCGGUGCCAGAUGCGACGGUUUCUUCUCCUUUCUGCGUCUAGCAAAGGAGCAAUUUGUAGAUAAAGAAUUAAAGGCAUUAAAACUCUACUAAAAAUGCUUCAAAUCUACGAGUAGGUGAUAAGCAUUACUUUGAAGUUUUUGAAGAUAAAUUCAAGAGAGAGUUAAAUGGCUCCGGGUUUCCUCUGCUGUGACAAAAAUCUUCAGGAUGAGGGGGGAGACCUGUGGUCUAAGUGCAGUGGGCUUUUUAAAAAGCACUAUUUAAUAACUAUCUCUGUUCCAAAUCCCUUCCAAUAUUUGCAGUGGAGAGAGAUGAGCGCGCUUGGGCUGACGGGCUGGCCGUCCUCCCUCGGCUGGGACCAGCAAAGUGUUUUCCUUUCAUUUUCUCUGGAUAUCUCGUAGCACUAAAGCUGAUGUGAGCAUGAAUGGCAGUGAAUUACAUCCUGGGGAGGACCCCAUCCUGGAGCAGGGGCCACCACAUCCUGCGCAGCUCGGAUACCCACACGCUUCGCUCCCUGAACAGGGAAGGACGGGAUUUGCCAUUCCGGAUCAGAGCGCUCAUCGAUCUCACCGGCGGUGACCAGGACACGGAGCCCCCUCCUCGCGUCCCUCACCGCAGCGUCUGACCUCCUGCGCCAGCGGUGACACCAAACAGGGACCUGCUCUCCCAACACGCCGUGAGCACCCCGUGUCCUUAAGCAGGGUACUUAUAUGUUCUUUACCACCUGCUUCUGAGCUGGUGCUUUGAUACCAAAUAUGUUUCCCUUCUUAAUUAAGCUCCCCUUGGGAUUCUCUCAGAUUUUAGCUGUUUACAAAGUAUUUCAUACAAUCUUUCCCCACAGAUACGUUGAUUCCCCCACAGAUACAGUUUAGCUAAGUUUAACAGUUUAACUAAGUUUGAUUUUUCUGGCUCUUCCUUUUGUACCAUAUUUUCAUGUAGAUGUAAAACAAAUGUGGCAAAGCAAUAUGGUUUUUAAAUUUAGCUUAAUUUUUACUGGGAAUAUUGGUGAGUGAGCCCGCGAUGGCUAACGUGGCUGGAUGUUUCUGUGCACGCUGGUGCACAAAAGGGCUCAUUGCAGCGCUACAUGUAACAUUAGAUGUUUUCUGAGUUUUCUCAGCACUAUGUGGGUCUCUUUUCAUCACCGCUUGUAUAAGGCAGUCUCUGCUCUGCCAAGCCUAUCUUUCUUUGCAUUCAGCUCUUCCCAUAGAUGUUGGUGAGAGGGCAACAAGAAAGCUUACUCACUGUGAGGUGGGAUUUAUGUAUUGCGUAGGUUUCCGUUCUGUCCCCGUGCUGGCGAGGCAGGCAGCGUGCUCGUCGCUGAGCAGCGUGUGGGAUAUGAGACUGCCUGGAAAUGUACUUUUUUCCCUUGAGAAGGAGAGAGCAUUUCCUUGAAGUCGCUCUGCGGAUGGCUGAUAGUGAUGGCAGGAGGUUCCUCGCUGGACUGCAGCCGGGCAGGGGCCGUGUCUCUGUGUUGCCCCGUCGGUGGAGCAGGUGGCCACACGCAGAGGGACUCGCUGCAGCGUGGAGCGUGGGACUCCAGCUAAGACCGUGUGUAAACACUGUCAUAAGCUGUGCUUUACGGGGUGCUAAUCCAUGAAGAUAUUAAAAAUGUUACCUGCAUCACGUUGCAGAGGUCUCAGAAAAAGCAACAGCGUUAGAACAUGCAGCUUUUUCAUAGAGUAGUUUGGGUUGAAGGGACAUUCCCAGCUCCCCCAGUGCCCCCCUGCCAUGACAGGGACAUCUUCAGCAGCUCAGGGUGCUCAGAGCCCCGUCCAGCCUGGCCUGGGAUGUCUCCAGGGAUGGUUCAUCCACCACCUCUCUGGCCAGCCUGGGCCAGGCUCUCACCACCCUCAGGGCAACAAAUUCCUCCUCAUGUCCAGCCUGAAUCUCCCCUCUUGUAGUUUAAAGCCACCUUUAUCUGGAAUAAAUAUCUUGUACCGCUUCCUAACAUAGAGUGGCGUAAUUAACACAAGGCUGCAGAGGUACAGAUACACACAAGUAUUAAAUGAAAAUGCUACCAGGAGGGGAUUCAUAUGCACUCAGAUAAAAACCUUCCUUCUCAUCCUUUCCUGCCUGCCUUCAUUGCUAUCUACAUAGGUUUGUUAUUUUCCUCUUUGUACAACAACUGCAACACAAGAUGGGCAGAAACAGGGGUUAAAUCAUGUUGCAUAUGGUCAACAUGCCUUCAGACUCCUUUGGCUGCAGUUUAUAGAAGGAAUUGUAUGGAAUUGCGGGUCUCUUUGCUGGUGUCCAGGCUAGAAGCCCGUCCAUGGUGUAAGGUCCAGGUGAGGCCACCUCUGUAGUGUCCAUGUGGUGUCUGGGGGUAUCCUUCAACAGCAAAACAGCAGCAACAAAUUAGUGAGUUGCAAUGGACUUUUGUGGAACAUUUUCGAGCUUUCCAAUCUCUGCUUUUUAUUUAUUUAAAGGAAAAUUAUCUUCUUCUUUGUCAACUGUAUGUGAUUACUCAAAGUCCAUCUACAACUUGGGUAAAUAAAUACUAGUUAGAUGAGUUAUUCCACAAACCAGACGUGAAAGCAACCGUCUCAUCCAGUGCCACGUUAACCAAUACGUGGGCCGGCAGUAGGAAGCCCGGUGCCCAGAAGUUUAUCUCCGUUUUCAAAAUCAGAAGCUAAUUUGCUGACCGGCACAUUCAGCUUGCUGGAGUGUAUUUUUCUACUCAUUUUGAUCAGUAUGGAUUUAUUUCCAUUAAAAUGUCUCAUGUCACUUGGCAAGCAGUGGGCAGUACCGGGAUGGGCUCUUUUUUUUCCCCUCUGGGUGCCAGGCUACCGUCUUCCAGGUGCUUAUGUACUCCUUAAUCUAUUGUUUCUUUUAUAAAAUAGAUGAAUAUAACAAAGAUUUUUUUGUUUUAUUGAAGUUGCCUGAGAAAAAUUAUUUAGACUGAUACACAAAGGGAUUUCUAAACCUUGGUUUAAAUUUUUUUUAUAUAUAUUCUGCAUUACAAUGCAGAAAAAAAAAAUCUGUCCUUCUGUCUGAGUAAUGUUAGUUUGAUGAUUAUACUAAUAUUAACUGCUUUACUUGAGUAAGCAAAGAAAAAGUAAAAUACCAGUCAGACCAGCUGCUAAUUCACACAGUGUUGUACUAUGGUUAUUAAAAAUACCCAAAAGAUGUACCUUUGUGGUUCAGUCUUUUGAAUUAGAAGCAGAAUAUUAAUUUAGGCCUGAAGCAUGAUUAAACAUUGUAAGGCCCCUUAAGAAUUUUCACCAAAUUUUCUUGGAUUUCUCUUUAUUGGGUCUUCCUCGACUGUGUUUAGCUCUGUAAUUGCUUUGCUCCUUUGUUGAUAGGUUAAAGCACAAUGUGAUUUUCUCCAUGUCAUAAUAUUUAAGAGGAUGGUUCAAUGUUCCGCAUGUAUGAUGUGCAGCUGAGGCACGCGGGGACACGAUGGGGGGUGGCCUCUGGGGCUUUGCUGGGCUUUUUCCUUCCUUUUUUUCCCUUCUAUUUGUGAAACUAUGCAGAAGGAUGUUGCAAGAUUUAUCCGUUUAAACCCCAGUGCAGAAAAUGCAAUCAAUGUCUGUUGGGGGUGGAGAGGCAGGAAAUCUACCUGGGCUGUGCAGCUUUACUGGGAAUUCAGGAGAGGUUUUCUGGAGCAGAGCUGUAGAACACCCGACCGCAGAUAAACUGAGCUGUAAAAUCCAGCUCCUUCCCUGCUCUCCUGUUUGGAAGAAUAAAUCCAAGACUUUACAUUUUUCAAAUGUUUUGGGGAAGGAUUCGUUACGGCUUCUGGCACCGGCUGGUGGGUGUAGAACCAGCAGGACUGGGGGGUCCUUGUCUAGACUGGGCUUGUGCCAAGACAGGUUGGAGCAGAUGAUCCCUUGGUCCCUGCCACCCUGGUGUUCUGUGGUUCUGUGUGUUGUUGCAAGAGAGUUGGAGCAGAAAAUGAAGUGUCAAGAGCUGAACGUGAUGGUUCUGGUUCUGGUGGUGCUGGUGACAAGGCACACGAUGGGGCAGGAGAAAUAUUGCAUGAUUUGCACCUGUCAGGAUUUCAGGUGAAAGCUUGGCUAAAAACCACUUCACAAAGUUAUACCAUGUAUGUGCCAUGUGUUGUUCUUCAAAGAAACAGUGUAAUCCUCAAAAGGUGAGGUAUGAUAGUUUAAAAUUUUAAUGAGAUUUUAAACAUCCAUAUUCGCAGUGUUACAGAGGAGGCCUCAUUAACAAUAAUGAGGGAUACGCACCUAUAUCACUCUGUGAUCCAGAAUGGCUUUGGAAGGCCUAAUAUUUGGCUGCGGUUAGAUAAUUUAUAUAUAGCACUGCUAAAACUCUAAUAUGUCAGCAAAAAUGUCAACAUAGUUUUGGAGCGCCAUUAGAUAGAGAUAUUCAGACAUAUUGAUAUCAUUACUCAGGAAGGUAAUAACGAUCCUCCUCAUGCCUUGACGAAGACUCCUUCUCCUCAGUUGUUAAAGAGCAACAAUGUUUGCUAAAAAUACCGGAAUUUCCAUUUUACACAACGCAAAAAAAAGAGCGAUCUGAUGAAAAGGGCUGUGCUACAUCUGCGACAUGCCCCAAGGCCACCUUCGUGAACAAAGUAGCUACAAUAGUUGGUAGAAAUCUAAACCACAUUUUAUUUGAGCAUCUCCCAUGCAAGCUGACAAGAACAGUGAAGCUGAGCUGGAAGGAAAGUAAUGCUGAAUAUUCAAGUUUACCACCAGUACAGAGAAUGAGCUGGCAAUUCAUUAAUAAACAAAUACAUUUAUGAAGAUAGCAGUGACCAAAAAGACCUCAUCUUGAGGCACAACAAGAGAAAAACCUGUUAUUUAAAUCCUUUGUAAGGGAGGGAGGAAGGAAGGAAGGAGGAGGGUGUUAACCAUGUGUAGAAGAAAUUUAGAAUCAAGAAGAAAUUUGACCUGCGUCAGGAUACUGAAGUUUUUAACCAAGUAGCAGGUUCUGUAAGAAGUGGUGGGUGAUUGUAGUAACUAUGGUGGCAUCCCAGAGCAUCAAAGCAGAAACUCAUUGAAGCUCGAAGUGGAAAUUGCUGAAACCAUCGGUGAGAAUUUUCCGUGGCCUCGUGCAAGAGCGGCGUGGACAGACCGGACCAACAGACCUCGAGCCUGGGCAGGAGAAAGAACCCGUUAUUGCUCGUGGUUAUAAUGCUGCAAUGAAGUUAACUUUGCUCUCUACAAGGUUGGCAGAAGGAAUUAUGUUCUCAAUAAGCAAAGGAUCUGGGCAAAAUAAUUAUAAAAAUUCCGUGAUGAUAAUUUCUGAAAUACAAACAACCCAGGCAACCCAAAAAAUAUGUUGUCCUGGUUUAGCUAGCGCAGAUCAACUAGUGUGCUAAUUAGCAGUAAGACUAGUGCAGACGUUGCAUUCUCUGAUUCAACAGUGAAAUUAAAAUCCGUCAGCAACCGGAAUGUACCAGCUGCUGGUUGGAGAUCGGUAUCCUCAAACUUAUCAGCUUGUGAUUCCUGCACGUUUCAAGUUGUAGUUAAGGCACGAAGUAUCAGAAAUCAGUUUUUUAGUGUUAGUAUUAUCUCAGUAUGUUCAAUCACACAAGCAAUUCAUUUUUUCAAGUUUCCAAAGACAUGACAGGUUGUUUGUUUAAAAUGCAAUUACCACGUUUUUUUUAUUUAAUCGUGUAAUUCUGAACCAUGUAAUUGUGGAAGUGUAUUUCCUGAAAGCGUAGAUCUUCACGUUCAUGCAAUGAGAAGCCCCAGGAACACACUCAUGGGGUAGUUUUGCAUAAAGAAUCCCCAUUCAGGACAUGCACUCUUUAAAAGUUGUCCUUUCAGUAAGAGCGCACUGUGAGUUACGGCGGUGGGAUCCAUUAUUUGAACAUUUUUAAAAAUCAACAUAACUUGCGCAUUGGGUUAGAUAGGCCCUUCCAAUAAUGCACAGGCUUCACUCUCACGUGGAGGUUUUGCAAUUCAAAGAAUUUUGCUGAUCUGAAUUGCCAUUAUUGGGAGGAAAUGUUUUGGUCCUAUUGUGGCUGGUGUGUAAAUUCAUUUCAGAGCAAGUAAAUAAACUAAGUCAAACUCAGUGAAUGAAAUAUGGAAAUUGACGCUUUGAAGUUCUUGGUAUUGUCUAGAUCCAGCAUUUUAGUAGAAAAAGAAUUUUACAACCUCAUUUUUGCAUUGCUGUAAAUAUGCGUUCCUAUAUUGCUACCAGUUUCAUCGGCAGUGCUGCUUUAACUCCCUUUGUUGACUUUUCCUUUCUUCAGGUAAUUUCUUCAGUGCCGCGUGUCUAAUUCUGGCAGGUGCUGGUUAAUCAGCCUGGGUUAACCGGAUGAUCUUCCAGCGGCUCCUGCCGGGGCCGGGGCCGGGGCAGGACUCCCGCUUUGUGCCGGGGCAGGCGGGGUCGCUGCCCUCGGGGACGGCUCGUCAUUCCCGAUGCGAACGUUAAUGACGAGCGUUACGAAUAACCACGCCGCUCGUGCAGAUUCACCCCGGAACAUCAUCUUCAUACUUUAUCGCUUUCCCAUAUGGGUGCUGGAAAAUGACUCAAAAUGUGUAGAAGCAGAUAAGUGUUCUAGUCCGAGGUGUUUUCCCGACCUUGUUUACGGGCGGCUUGGGCUGGAAUCGCCAGAUCUAAUUGACUGGUAACGCUGCGCGGCAUCAGCGUGAUGGUUUGGGGAGUUAUCGCGCCGCGGCGAGCGCGGAUGCUAUAGAUGGGCGCUGACGUCGCUGCCACUUCAAUUACGGCCGGUACCCGGCUCGGUGGCGGCAGCGGGGACCAGGCCUGAGGAUGCUCGGCGGGAGCGCGGCCGCGGGGAUGCGGUGACAGGGAGGGGUCCGGGCUGGGGCCGCCGCUGUCCCCCCGCAGCUGCCAGUGGGACCUGCACCCCCUGCCGGAGGCGUGGUGGAUGGACCCCGGCUGCGUGGUUGAAGAUCUGUGGAAAUGCGGGGUUUCAGACAGUGGAAUGGGCAUGGGGCUAAAAAUAUUAACAAACUAUUUUUUAAAAAUAAAAGUUUAAGAAAAAGCCCAUAUAAUUGGUUAUUUUCUACAUUUUCUGGCUCAUAGCGCCGUGGUGGCAGCACCUAUAGGAUGCUUUGGGAUGAUCCGAGUUCAUAAAAGUGGACAAGUAUGUGAAGCCUUGCAAAAUUCCGGGAACCACUGCGUUGGUGUCUUUUUAAAAUGUUUUUAUUUUUAAGUGCGGAAAAAGUGGAGAACUGUGACCUAUUGUGCUAUCUAUAUUGUACUAUCUAUAAAUGAAAAGCAGGUACUAAAUAUUUUAUUUUUCCCCCCUCGUCUAUUUAUUCUUCUCCCUUGCUUUUCAAUCUCCAUGUAAAGUUUGUGCAUGAGGGUAUGUGUACUUUCUAUGAGCACAUACAGUAUCUGUAACUGUGGGCUGGAUUUAAUAAUUCAGAGUAAUAUGAGACCUUGCCAGUAUGGAAAUAGGCUUGUCAUUGGCUCUGUCUGCUGGCUAGAUAGGAGGAAAAAAUCUCAUUUUUGGAAUAAUAAUCAAAGAUUAUCAACUGCAUCCAGGAAUUUUUGGGGUCUCACAGAGAAGAGUUGCCUCCUCUGCCUAUAUGCAUUUAAACUUCCCUAUUGACGCACAAAUAUAAUGCUUAUAUUAAACUGUAUCUGAGUAUUUUUGUGUUGUGCUCCCAUCACUUGUCAGACUCCCUGUUUUCCAGGAUACUAGCCAGAAAAAUGAUGCUGUAGUAAUCAGUGGACGGUCAGAGCAUUGAAAGAAAUGCUGAGAGCACAAUAAAGAGAAGGAAAAAUCCCCCAAAACACCAAAAACCAAGGGAGCAGAAACCCGGGCUUAACUGCCAUCCCCGGCCCAUAGUCCCCUGGCUCCAGCCUCUGGUUUUGUCAGAUCAAAAUGUGCUUCAGCAUCUGCCUGGUGUUUGAGAAGCACGGAUAUAUAACACAUAAAUACAUAUAUAUAUAUAUAUACUAAUAGGUGUUAGAUGCAGAUCCCUGACAUCACGGAGAAAAAAGGUGUCUUUGAGCACUGGGUAACGCGCUUCAUUUUGAAAUACUGUGGCCAUCAUAUUUUGAAGGAAAAAUUAAAUAGCUUAAAAAGUUCUUGAUCCAAUGAAGAUCCUCAUAAUGCAGUUUCUUUGCCCUUUAUAUUCCCUCCUUUUAAAAAAAAUCUUAUGUAAAUAUAGAUAUAGAGCAUCAUGAUUGGAAUUCCCAGGAGGGAUUUUUGUGGAACUUCAGAGCAAAUGUGGUUGACACUUGUUCUUUGUUACCCUUGGGCUACUGUUUUGAUCAUCGACUGAACGGAUUUAUUCUUGUCAGCACAAUGAAUUUUCCACUCUUGUCGUAAGUGAAUUUUACAAUCCUUUCUCAUGUCUAAAUGAAGCACAAUAUUCAGGUGCUUUGUGUUUUCAACACCUUUGGAAAUGUGAAAAAGGAGUACCAGCAGACAGGAGAGAUGGAUGCUGCGAUCCGAAUCCCGCUUUGAUUCCGCGGCUCUGGGAAGCGCAUUGCAAUUCAGAGGCCCGAUGGAUUUUUUUUUCCCUUUCAUGUGGAUGGUAGGCACACGAAGCUCUAAGCAGCAAUGGCGAAAUAAUUGGUAUGAAGAUGGAGAAGCUUAAUUUUGAUGAAGCAAUUAGUGGUUGUUUCCUGAUUGCUCUUACUCCCGUGAAGAGGAGGUGAAGAUCGUGCCGCCUCUUUCAAUUCCGAACCGUUUCACAGCUCCCGAGACCUUUUGCCCUGAUAUUGGACGCCAGCGAAAGUUGCUUUGAAUUUUUUUAGAAAGUGUAUUGCCACCAUGGAUUCUCAAGAAGGUUAAACAUAAAUUAGUCAUAAAGCCAACAAAAGAGAGAGGAAGACAUGAGGCUGUACGAUUAUCGUCCAAAUUUCUGUGUUUUCAAACUGCUAGUGUUUAAUUAGGAAAAAAAGAAGUGCUAAAUUCUUUUGCUCUUUAGAAUAAUAAUAAUAAAAAAUGCUUUGGAAAACACUGCCAUUUAUAACCUCAAACAUUAAUGUGCAACGAGCUAUGUAAUGCCGCAGAUCUGAGCAGCGUUUAAGACAACAAAGUGCUAUUUGAUAGUCUAGCCUUUCUGUGGAACAGCUCUUCUUCCUGCCUUUGAUGUGGGGAUGGUUUAUUUAAUCAAUUAUUAAUCAAAGUUAUGGCAUUCUUCUUAUAUAUUUAGGUAAAAACUAAAAGAUGCCUUUUCUUGCUUUCUUGUUUAAAUGGAAUGUGGAAAUACUUGCUUUUGAAAAAAAAAAAAAAAACAACCAUAUUGGAGAGCUUCCAGUUUCAAGCGUUUGAGCAGUAUAUUGUAUGUUCAGGAAAAAAAAUAAGAGGCAGAAGCCAGCCGUUUCUGAGUCGCGUCGCUCAGCCCAAGGCAGCAGAAGGACCUGCCUCGCCGCAACAAAGAGCGGGACAAACGCUUUGCUGGUGUCCUGGUGGCCCAGGUGCUGGGGCCGCGCCGGGGCCGCGGGGCCGGAGCGGGGUGGGCGGCCGGACCCGCGGCGCACGGAGCAUCGUGAGCAGUUGGGAACAUUUGGCAGCUUAACGCAGGAAAAAUGACUGCUAGGGAAAUCUCAACUGCUGCUAAUUAGCAGCAAUGAACUGUGGGUAAGGACAGUACAUUUUAAUGUGAGAAGAAUUUUUACAAUAACCACCACACUGAAAGAAAUAGAAGGAAAUGCUCCCUAGCUGACCCUUGUGGCAAUCUAAGCUGCAUAUUGCAAUAAUCCUGUAAAUUACUAUGCUUUUUUAUACAGUAACUUGGAGUUAAUUAGUAAUUUAACAUUCCUCUACGCUAUUAAAUGUCUGUCUUGCAUUAUAUUAUGUUGUUUCAUGGUCUUACCUUAACACUAAUGGGGUUUAGUUAUAUUUUCUCAAAACAGUAACAGUAAAAUAAAACC